rnacentral:rRNA from 1 species
UGUAAGCGUAUACCAAAGUUGUUGCAGUUAAAACGCUCGUAGUCGGAAUUUGGCAGUUCCGGAUGUGUGCACGUCGUGUGAGCACUUCGCGGGGAUUGCUUUUGUGGUCUUGCGUAGGAUGAGGCACUUUUAUUAGUGAACGUCCUCACGCAACCACUUUUUACUGUGAGAAAAUCAGAGUGCUCAAAGCAGGCAUUUGCCGUGAAUGUAUUAGCAUGGAAUAAUAGAAUAGGACUUGGUUCUAUUUUGUUGGUUUGUUGGGACUGAGUAAUGAUUAAGAGGGACAGUUGGGGGCAUUUGUAUUUCGGUGCUAGAGGUGAAAUUCUUAGAUUACCGAAAGACAAACUGCUGCGAAAGCGUCUGCCAAGGAUGUUUUCAUUGA